AGUUCAAUCUGUCUGGCUGAAAAGGAAAUGGGCUAUUCAGCAAGGACGAAACACAUCGAUGUGAGGCAUCAUUUCGUACGUGAGCAAGUAGAGGCGAAAGCGAUCAAGCUGGAACAUGUGGCUUCCAAUCUUCAAGCGGCAGACAUCCUCACAAAGGCGUUAUCUGAACGAAUGCUACAAGAAGACCGGAAGUUAUUGCGUGUUGUACAAAUACCCGCUUAAGGGGGAUGUUAGCGUAGUAAGCGUUGCAUUAUAAUUUGUAGGGAACGUAAGGGUUAAGACGGUGUUAAGAUGGUAACUAGGAGUAAUUAGGAAAAGAGAGGAGAGGAAGCAGAGGCGCAAGAGAAAUCGUGAUCGUAGGACCCAUAGAUUUUACAAAUGAAAAUUCAGUUUGUUGGUUUGUUUAACUGUGAAUAGACGUGUUUGAUUUGUGGAAGUAAAAAAAAAAACGUGUUCAGUUUCAUUCGGAAUGGAAAAUCACUACAAUGGCGCAAAGGCUCCCAGGGGGCAAAGAAAAAAAUUUUGUCAAACCAAUCCACACUCUUGGCAACACCGGGAGAAAGCACACAAAUAAAAAAAAAAACUAGUGAGCGAAGUUGCCUACACACACAUGUUUCAGGAAGGCUCUCUCAGCCUUCUUUUUUCAUCUCAAGCACAAAUGGAAAACGGUUCCCGUAUGACAACGUGGUAGCGGAAAAGAGAAGGGUGAUUGAACGUCAGAUGAUCUAGUACACAAUUGUAUCAUCAUCAUCAUCAUCAUUAUUUACGUUGAUAUCGGUAUGCGGCCCUGUUGGCCAUGCAUGCUUGUGUUCUAGUUUUCAUCGAUGACGAAGUCCCGUGCAGUGAAAUUAAGAAUGUGAAACCGUUAUGAAGAACCCAUGAAAGGGACAGAUUUUCUAAUUUCUCGCUUAACACUUGAAAGCAACCCAAACGACGAUCAUAAAACUAAUUUUCGAAGUUUGUAAAAUUUAUAAGUUAAUUACCCAUUACGUUUUUUACAACAUAACACGUUUUCAUACAACUUUUAUUGAAAUUAUGUCUGUCCUACAAUGUCAAUAUAUAAAAGAAAAACUGGAAGUUAAACUGUCACGCAAAAUAAAAAUUACGUCAAUGUGUAAAUGUGUGAAAUGAUAAUGCCGGUAUAAAUGUAUGAGUUUUUACAAAUUGUUUUUUUUUUCUUGAAAAAAUCGGUAUCCGACCCUUGUUGACAUCGGUAUCCGACCCUUGCCGGCCACGCAUGGCAUGAUAGUUUCUUAUUGGAUUUUAGCAGUCGAAUGAAUUAUAUGAUAAUCGCGAUUAUAUUGACAAUGAAUGGGACAUUUUUUUAAUUUCUUGCUCAACAUUUGAAAAGCAACCAAAACGUCAAUCGUAAAAAUCGAAGUUUUGAAAAUUUGAUAUGUGAGGAAUCAUAACAAAAAAAUAAAUGAAAUAAAAAAUAAAGUCACCUGAGAGGUUAAGCAAAAAAAAAAAACAAAUAUAAUUAAGUCGCCUGGGAGGGUAAUCUGAAAUGAUCUCUGAGUCUCAUUAGAGGGUAAGCAGUACUUUAAAAAGUAGCAACGAAAGAAAUUGUAAACCCCCUAAGAGAGUAAUUUGGAUAUAUCUAUGAGUCCCCUGCAAUGGUGUGCAAUAAAACGUAUUAAAUCAAAAAUAAGCUAGAGUUCCCUGUGAGGAUAAUAUAAAAAGCAAAGCUAUUUCCCUGAGAGUGUAAUAAAAAAAAAAAAGUUCCUGCAAGUAUGAUUUUAAAAUUUGCCCCUGAGAGGGUAUACUAAAUAAAAUCUUUGAGUUAUUUGUGAGGUAGCAUAAAAAAAAAAUAUAAUUUUGAAAUAAAAAAUUUGAGAUUUCUUGGUAGAUUCCCUUGAGAGAGUAAGCUAGAAUGAAUAGUAAAGAAAAGGGUAGCUAAUACAAAGUGAGCCGCUCGUAAAAAGUAAGGAUUCAAUAAAAAAAAGUCCCCUGAGAGGGUAAGCAAAAAAAAAAAUAGGUCUUCUGAGAAAGUAAGCAAAUAAAAAAGUCCAAUGAGAGGCUAAGUUAGAGUAAAAAAACUGUUCCCCGAAAAAAUAAAUUAAAUAGUUCUCUGAGAGAAUAAAGGAGUCCCCUGCGAUGGUAAGCGAAUAAAAGAGCCCCUGAAAGGAUAAGUAAAAUAAAAAAGUCCCCUGUGAGGGCAAGCAAAGAAAAAAAAAGAUAAAAUGAAAAGUCCCCUGAUGGUAUUAUCAAAAAAAAAAAAAAAAGUUUAAAGGACCCUGUGGGUAAUCAAAAAUAAUAAUAAUUAAAAAGCCCCUUAGAGGGUAAGUAAAAGAGUCCCCUGAGAGGGUAAGUAAAA